rnacentral:tRNA from 1 species
GGGUUGGCUCAGUGGUUAGAGCUUAGGACUCGUAAUCAAAAGAUCGCGCGAUCGAUUACCGCUAGAGUCUG